GCCUCAUACAUGUUGUUGGGUAUAAAAUACCCUCAACCGAAGUUCUCAAUGGGAUUGACCCUCACGGGCUCGUCUCCAACUCCGACACCAACUUCAACUACAAGGAAGACUCCGCCCGGACUCCUACGGGAGCCGGGCUCUGUCGCCAGCUUCAACCGCAAGUAGACUCCACCUGGACUCCUACGGGAGCCAGGCUCCAUCACCAACUCCA
rnacentral:lncRNA from 1 species